CUAUCACGCGGUUCACUUCACACUCCGUUUAAAGGUGCGCUGGACUCACGUUGGUCGUGAAGGUCCGGCUCAUGAGUUCCUCCCUGUCUCGGUCCUGGGCCUCUCUGGCGUAGCGUCGGUGCUGGAAAUUCUGCAGGGCGGUCCGAAGGUGUUGGACAUCAUACUUCAGCUGGUCCACUCGCCUGAGGGAAAGCAAAGAACAAAGUUAAACUGUUGAUUCACCUUUAGUGUGAAGUGAAGCAUCAUUGAACCACAUCAUAUACGUAAUUCUAACGAUUCCUAAUUGCUCUGGCUGAUGAGAGCAUUUCUUUCCCCUCAGAUCUCAUGCGGUUGGAAUGAAGGGCCUCUCACAGUCCUCAGCUUCACUCUCAGACCCCACUAGAGCUCCGCUGAGAUCGGAGGAGCGAUGUGGGACGGGGUGCACCGUGUCCCCUCAGGCCUGUUUACCCAGCUCAGAAUGAGUCUUUGCCCAACGCAGCAGGAAUGCUGGUGAUGACGUGGCUGCUGAGGAAAUGUUUUCACAGAGCUGCCUGUCUCCUGUCCUACACCCUCUGCGUUUAUCAGAUGACGGCUCACCCCUGCACCGCUCGGUGGGCUCUAGGGUCACCAUCAACUGACUGACUCACUCCAAACUCACACUUUGGCGUUCUGCCGGCGGUUCAGUGGUUCCUUGCUGGCCAAGAUCUCGAGGCGUUCCAACUGGUUGAAGAUCUGGUCGAUUCUAGCCUGCAGCUCGUUCUCCAACACUAAAGAACACAAAAAGGAGAGAAUUCAUUUGGUGUAAUUACAGGAAGGAAGACGCAGUGAUCAGAUCUCCCAUAUACGACUGCACCUCCUGGAUUUGCCUAAUCCAAAAUAAAACGUCACGUGGAUGAGAACCAACACAUGAUGCCAAAAUACAACCUGACAAACAUUUAAAUACGUCAACGAUCUGCUGUGUGGAGAGUUUAAUGAUCAACAACCCCCAAUAUGAUGGUAUCCGUGUGCUACAGGUGUCAGAAUAUUCCUGCCUGUCCAUCUGGAGGCUUCCUUCUUGCCUGCGGCCAGAGACACCAAAAACUAAUGAUAUCA